GGCUAUGAAACCUUUGCCUUCUGACUUCUGCAGUGGAAAGCCACGGUACAAUAGCAGGCGUGCCAUCUCUGCCCUCUCUAAGACCUACUGUGCUUGGGUCAAACAGCAGGAAGAGGUCACUGCAGCAGACUCCUGAGUGGACUCCCUGCCUCCAGUCUAUUCUUCACUCUGUUUCCAAAGGAACUUUCAUGAAGCACAGGGAAGACCAGGCCGAACAGCUUGUCCUGUCCAGGGUUCAUGCCCUAAGAAGGUGACUGAAGACGCUGGCU